UCGUCAGCUCGUGUCGUGAGAUGUUGGGUUAAGUCCCGCAACGAGCGCAACCCUUGUCAUUAGUUGCCAUCAUUUAGUUGGGCACUCUAAUGAGACUGCCGGUGACAAACCGGAGGAAGGUGGGGAUGACGUCAAGUCCUCAUGGCCCUUAUGGGUAGGGCUUCACACGUCAUACAAUGGUCGGUACAGAGGGUUGCCAAGCCGCGAGGUGGAGCCAAUCCCUUAAAGCCGAUCGUAGUCCGGAUCGUAGUCUGCAACUCGACUACGUGAAGUCGGAAUCGCUAGUAAUCGCAGAUCAGCAUGCUGCGGUGAAUACGUUCCCGGGUCUU
rnacentral:rRNA from 1 species